CUCGGCCGCGACCCCAGGUCAGGCGGGAUUACCCG
rnacentral:rRNA from 1 species